rnacentral:rRNA from 1 species
AUAUUCCUACGGGGGGCAGCAGUGGGGAAUAUUGGACAAUGGGGGGAACCCUGAUCCAGCGACGCCGCGUGAGUGAAGAAGUAUUUCGGUGUGUAAAGCUCUAUCAGCAGGGAAGAAAGAAAUGACGGUACCUGACUAAGAAGCCCCGGCUAACUACGUGCCAGCAGCCGCGGUAAUACGUAGGGGGCAAGCGUUAUCCGGAUUUACUGGGUGUAAAGGGAGCGUAGACGGCUAUGCAAGUCUGGAGUGAAAGGCGGGGGCCCAACCCCCGGACUGCUCUGGAAACUGUAGAGCUAGAGUGCAGG